CCAAUAGCGUAUAUUAAAGUUGUUGCAGUUAAAAAGCUCGUAGUUGAAUUUUAGGCCUGACCGGACGGUCCGUCUCUGGCGAGUACUGUUCUGCUGUCGGGUCUAUCCUUCUGGUGAGCCGGUAUGCCCUUUAUUGGGUGUGUCGGGGAACCAGGACCAUUACCUUGAAAAAAUUAGAGUGUUUAAAGCGGGCUUUUGCUUGAAUAGAUUAGCAUGGAAUAAUAGAAUAGGACGUUGGUUCUAUUUUGUUGGUCUAGGACCACCGUAAUGAUUAAUAGGGAUAUUUGGGGGCAUUAGUAUUCAAUUGUCAGAGGUGAAAUUCUUGGAUUUAUUGAAGACUAACUACUGCGAAAGCAUUUGCCAAGGAUGUUUUCAUUAAUCAAGAACGAAAGUUAGGGGAUCGAAGACGAUCAGAUACCGUCGUAGUCUUAACCAUAAACUAUGCCGACUAGGAAUCGGGCGACGUUAUUAUCAUGACUCGCUCGGCGCCUUAUG
rnacentral:rRNA from 1 species